GUGUUUUCAACAGAAAUAGCAUGCUUUGUCAUAUAAGAUCUUGAAGUCAAUAAUUUUGCUGAACUCUUAUAAAUCUCAUGAGCCAUCUUUAGAAUUGUUGGCAUUUCUUGUAUCACAUUUAUAUUAUCUGUUAAAAAGAUAGUUUUGUUUCCUCCUUUUCUCCUAUUUUAGCUUUGUCUCCCUUUCUAACUCUCUGUAAUGUUGGGACAGACAUUCAGUAACCUACCAAGAGGGUGUUGCUAUAGCUGCCAUUUUUGUUUCAUUAAAAAUUGUCCUAUUUUGAAGUUCUUAUUCUAAGGCUUUCUCUUGAUUAUGCCAGAGGCCAGAAAAAAAUGAUUGUUUUCUAAUUUCUAUUUACCAGAGAAAGCAUGUUAAAAUGAGGGGGUUCUCUAAGAUAUCCUUUUCAUUUUAAUUUAAAUUUUAUGUGGACUCAGAAGAUGGUUAAUUAUUCAAUGUUGCUGAAGUCUUUCAUUCACUGAUACAGACAAAACCCCCAAAACCAUGUUCUUAAAUUUAGUGCUCAACAAAGGAGUUCAAAGUCAUAGGUACUACAGAAGAGGGAGCUGAAUUGCCAUCAAGGAUUUUUUCUUCUAUUCAACUGAUAGACACGGAAUAUUGAUAAAAGAACAGUGGCAGAGCAAAUUUUUCUUUAGCUGAUUUUAGGAAGAUAAGAGUUUAUUACAAAGCUUAAUAUAGCUCAGAGAAUUACCAGAGGAAUAGAAGAAGCUGAAUAAGGUCACUGAAGAAGCUACUACCUCUUCUCUAACCAGGGAACCACAUUGGUUGGGAUAGCCACAUGGGGAAGCCCCUCCAUUUAGUGAGCUGCUCUGAUCAAUUUGCACUGGUAAAGGGGACUUGCUAUGUGUUGCCUCUUUACAUCCCUAAAGUGAUUUAUCAGAUAUGAGGAUCUUUCCUCAUUCCAACACAGAAAAAUAAGGUAACUUUUCAGCUGAAAGAACAUCUAAUCAUGUUCAACUACCACCAGAACGCUUCUGAUUAGCCAAUCUAAAUGUCACCAAAGGUUACCCAGGAAGCGUCCUCUUCAAAGCUGCACCUUCUGAAGUCAGGAGAAUGCACUGGAAGAGGUUGAGAACUGUUUUAUUCCAACCCACUACAUAAGGGAAUAGGGCACUCUUAAAAUUUUUUUCACUUCUAUUAGUAGUAUAAGUAAUUUUCAGAUCAAAUCUUCUUCCAUGGAAAUUACGAGUGAUUGUCUUAGAUUAGAUUAUGUGCAAAUCAAUAGUUUUUUGGCCCAACAGGCCUUUUCUACUUAAUGAAACAGCAACCACUCCAACAAAACAAAACAAUAAAUUAAAGAUAAUCUUUUCCUUAAAACUCACAUAACAUUAAUUUAAAUAUAAUUCUUUACAAGAAAUAAUUGACUUGCCUGUGUCUUAUGCUCUAUUUUAAUAUAUUUUUACAACUUGUUUUCUUAAAUGAAUGAUGGCCUUCUUCCUUUUUCAUCUCUCAAACCAUAAAUUAUGGUUUCAGUGGAGAAAAGUCAGCAUUACCACAAUUUCCCUUUCAGUCAGCUGUGGCCAGGAGUUUUCAGAAAAUAACAGAGUAAUCCGAGUAACUUCCUUCACUAUGUCUCUUACUAUGGUUUUAUUAAUUCAUGAAUGGCAUUCUUUUUGUCUCCCAAUUAACUUAGCUAUACUGUCUCCCUAUUUGUUGCUCUCACAUGCAAAGUUGGUCCCUGCUUUAGGAGUUGCACUUACUGUUCUUGCUGACUGGAGUGUUUUGCUAUAGAUUUCGAAUAGUUGGCUUUUUCUUGUCAUUCAAGUUUCAGUUCAAAUAGUAUAUAUGAGACUAGCCAUACCUACUCAUUCCCUCAAUUAUGUUGUUUUUCUUAAGGGAACAUUCAUUACCAUCUAACUUGGAAUAUUACCUGGCUCAUAUUAUGUAAUGAAACAAAUAACAUAUGUAUACAUUAAUCUCACUAAGACGUUAACCCUGAUUUUAGAUGACACAAAUCACUAUAAUAUAUUAGCAUAAAAUAAAAUACAGAAGAAGGAAAUGAGCAUUGAAGAUAUGUGGGACAUUAUGUAAUGGUUUAAUAUAAUUAAAAUUAUUCUAGAAAGAAGUGAUAAAGGAUGCAGGAAAGGAAACAGAUAAUGGCAGAGAACUUUCUAAAAACCAAUUAAAGACAAAACACAGGUUCAAGAAAGUCAACUUCAUAGGCAAAAAAAAUGCCUUUAAAUAGUAUGAAUAACUUGCUGGAAACCAAAAAUAAAGGGAAAAGCUUUCAAUUAAUGAGAGGAAAAAAUGCAUUAUUUUCAGAAAUGAAUGAGUUAGGAUUAACUUUCAACAAAAAGAAUAAAAUCCAGAAAACAAUGGAAGACAUCACUAAAAUCCAUCAAGAUCAUCCUUGGCCCCCAGAGAAACCUAGAAUCCCAAAAUCUUCUAAAACAUUCUUUAGUAGUAAUGCUCAGAAUCUUUCUGUACUGGCUAAGUUGGAACAUAGCCCACUAAAGUCUCUCUUUCCCAGUGAUCAUAAUGGAAAAUAUUGAACAGAAUGUGUAAAGUGUCACCCAUGGACAUUGAAAAGUAAACAGUAGCAGGAGGGAAGUGGAAUCUGAAGAAAUGGCAGUCAGGGAGGGGUUCCUGGUUCUUCUCUCUUUUCUCUCUUGGCUUUGGCUGGUGCCGCAGUCUGGCUGGGCACAAAUCACGAGCCACUGAAGCAGGAACAAACUUUAUUUCUGAACUCCACCAGCACGCUCCACACAUGCUCCUGGACACCAAGCGGCUCCUCCAGGAACCAGCAGCCGGAAAUAUCCUCUGGAAAUCCCUCCCCCUGCACUUCCCCAACCAAUGGGAAUUCUCCGGGAAUCCCCACGAGAACUCCAAAGUAGCGUGAGAACUCAAAAGUAGCAGCUGAGGCGGAUAGUAAUGCCUCACCUGUCAACCAAUACUAUUGGCAAAAUGCCAGGGGCCAUUCCGACUCAGCUGUGGCUCUCAGCAGGCUGGGGUAACUGUGGUCAUGGAGCAGAGAGAAGAAACUCCCAAGACACUCCCUGUUUCUAGCCAGAAGAUUGGAAAGGGGAAAGUUAUAGAGAGUAUGUGGGAAAUACACCUUGUUUGUUUUUGUUUUAUUUUAUUUUUCUAUUCUAGCUCUGUCCUGGGUGUGAUCAAAACCAAGAAGCUGCACUAAGGUGCAGUGGUGGAGGCAUUAAAAAACCCAAGGGCAAAACCCAUUUGACAGCCAUAAAAACUGUGACUUAUGGAGGUUGAGGAUAUUUCCAUAUUAUUUUUCUCUCUUCUAUUUUGACAUUUUGCCUCAAAAGCAGCUCUAAUUGUGUGGAACCAUAUAAUAGUACUGGAAACUAUUUUGAGAGAAGCUCAUCUUUCUGGACUUAGAAACUGGUAAAGGGACCCAUAGGAACUGAAGUGUGUGGAGAAAUGACACAGAGGAGAGAGAUGUUCUAUGAAUUCUUCAUCAUAAACCUUGGGGAUCCCAGGAUGCACCUGAGUGGCACAGUCUUCCACCAGCUCACCAAAUGCGUUAGUAACUGGGCUAUAAAAUAACCACCAUCCAAGUGCCAGACAAAACACUGAGUGGCAUAUGCUCAAGGCAGGCACAGAGCAGCAUUGCAAAGGAUUAAGAAACUGUACUGUCAUCAGUACUACCAUUUACAGAGAUGAGACAGAGCUUGCCUUCUAAUUCCGAUGAUGUUAGUUGCCUGCUAAAGCAAAAAUUUCAACAUUUCUCAGAGGCUUUAAUAGAACACAGAGCUGACAUGUAUAUUCAAGAUAUGCAGACUAUAAUCCGAAUUUAUUUGGCACACAAAUAAUCCUGGGUAACAUGACCACUUCUAGAAGUUUUUAGCAUAAUUAUUUAAAAAAAUGGAGAUGGUUGUGGUGGCACAUAUCUAUAAUUCCAGUGACUUGUGAAGCUGAGUAAGGAGAAUCACAAGUUCAAAGGCAGCCUCAGCAACUUAUCGAGGACCUAAGCAACUUAGUGAGACCCUAUCUCUAAAUAACAAAUAAAAAACUGGCUGGGGAUGUCACUUAGUGGUUAAGUGUCCCUGGUUUCAAUCCCCAGCACUCCCACCCCCCAAAUAAUCUAGAAU
rnacentral:lncRNA from 1 species